rnacentral:rRNA from 1 species
CCUACGGGAGGCAGCAGUGAGGAAUCUUUGUCAAUGGGCGCGAGCCUGAUCCAGCCAAGUAGCGUGAAGGAUGACUGCCCUACGGGUUGUAAACUUCUUUUAUAAAGGAAUAAAGUGAGGCACGUGUGCCUUUUUGUAUGUACUUUAUGAAUAAGGAUCGGCUAACUCCGUGCCAGCAGCCGCGGUAAUACGGAGGAUCCGAGCGUUAUCCGGAUUUAUUGGGUUUAAAGGGAGCGUAGAUGGGUUGUUAAGUCAGUUGUGAAAGUUUGCGGCUCAACCGUAAAAUUGCAAUUGAUACUGGCAGUCUUGAGUACAGUUGAGGUAGGCGGAAUUCGUGGUGUAGCGGUGAAAUGCUUAGAUAUCACGAAGAACUCCGAUUGCGAAGGCAGCUUACUAAACUGCCACUGACAUUGAUGCUCGAAAGUGUGGGUAUCAAACAGGAUUAGAUACCCUGGUAGUC